UUUCCACAGGUCAUAAGCACAGAAAUCCUGGAGGCUGGAAGGAGAGUGGUUCAGUGCCCUCUCUGCAGAGCAGCAUGCCCUGCUCCAGCCGCCUCUUGUUGUGCUGCAGGCCACCUCCAAGAUGUGCCACCGUGCCUGUGGAGAUCUCACAGCUCCUCUGGUUCCAAGAAAUGCACUGCAGGAAGGAUGGCAGCCUCCACCUCUGCCUGUCUUUCAUGUCUUCUGAAUAAACCAGAGAAGAUGAGUUCAGACUGGUACCAGGUCAGCCCUGCUGCUUCUUCACCUCUCCCUCCAUGAGCCUGGCAACAAAACCAGGUCCUAGCAACAAAAACAGGUCCACUCCAUAAAGCCCACCACUGGAAAGCACAGAGCAACUCCUGGCAGUCCUUAUUUUUGACUGAAACCUCUCUGCUACCCUGGAAAUUUGUCCCUGGUGCCAGUUUGUACUUUGCCACCUCACUGCCAAAACUAAUCUGGAUGUGGCAGCCGAGAGUGAGCAAGAAACCUGGCAGCAGCUCAGCUGGCACACAUGGCGAGGCUGGGGACUGACAGACACAGUCAGAGAAUUCCCACAGAAGGAAGUUUUCCUUUUGCAUUGUCACACAGCUUCUACCACAUCAACCUGUUUACUGCUCCCUGCUUUAUUAAGCAAUUCCUCCCUCCCAUGGAGACCUGCUGGACCCGGGGUGUUGCAGCAGCUGAAACUGCUUGCAAAUUGCAGAGAGCAUGUAAUCAAUGUAUGGUAAUUAUUCUAGAAGACAACAAAGUUACUACAGACUUUCCAACCAUUUUAGUAAAACACUACAGCAGCCUGUAAAAUACUACAGCAGCAUAAUUUUAUAUGGUCUUCAGCAGUUCAGUAUCCCCACUGAAAUAUCAUCCAGCCUUUCACCUCCUGAUCAGAUAACAAAUGAUAAACCACUUCAGUGUCCUUCACUUUAUCGAGCCAUUGCAACACUAAAGGGCUCAGUGUCUUUCUGGCAGUCAUCAAACAAAAAACUCCAGUGCACUGCCUGGGGUGCACUGCCUGAAGUGUUCUACUGCUCUUUGGAGGCACAGCUACGCUUGGGAUCCCUCUGUCCAGGUGGAGAUUUUGGAAGGCAAAGCUCAAAGAAGCAUGGAAAGGAGUUGUCCCUGCCUAAGGUUGAACCCUGAAGGUGAUGAGUGUCCUCAUAUACAUUAGGACACUUACAUGACUCAGAGCACCAGGCAGACCAUCAGAAGGGAGUGAGCACAUACAAUCAGGCCAUAACACCCAAUCCAGCUCCUGCUGCUCCUCGUUUUCCCCAGCCAGCCACAAAAAUACAUAUACUGAGCCAAGCACUAGCAAAGUGCCAAGGCAGAAAAAGGUAUGCAGGGAUGCUUUACUGCCUCUGCAGCUGCUGUCCCACCAGACUGCUGCAGCCAGAACUGGAGGAUUCACAGGUGUCUGGGAGCACACCAGAAAUUCUUGUAGCUUGAACAAUAUGAGGAAGACAAAAGCAUGUGAAAGGAGAGAAGCUGGAAAGAGCUGUGUGCCUCAGUAGAGAGGUGGCAGAAGACAGCCCUGUGCCCUCGCCACCAGCCACCUCAAAGCUCCUCAACAUUCUGAUCCAGGAUUCUGGGCUGAGCUGAUAGAAAGAAGCACCUGAACUGCAGCCAAUCAUCCCCAUGUCCCAGGGAUCCCAGGAGACACUGUCAACCCUGUGGUGCCAAAGGCAAGUGGCAGGAUCCCUCGAGGUAAAGCCAGCAAGACAGCAAAACACCCAAGCCCCUGGAAAUGCUGGGGAGCAAGAAGGAAGAGGAUUAGCUGUGAAAUACCAGCCCACUGCAGGAGACUUGCAAAGCCAACAGCUCAGAGGGUUCCAUGACACACACUGGCAGCAGGGCCAGGCAGGGAGAAGGAAGCUCUCAUGCCCUGAAAAGGAGGGACUGCACUAGAGUGGGCUCAAGGUGUGGUUGAGCCAACAGACUCACCUACCUGACCGACCAGGAUGCAUUGAAAAUGAUGGAACUACUUGGUGUACGUGGAACUGCUCUCACAGGGUAUCCACAGGUCAUUUUGGGACUGUGACAUCAGCAGCAACCAUGACAACCUGUACCCACCUCAAACCUCCCUUUAAACUACCCAGUAUUUUGGGAGGAUUUUCAGAGAUAAACUGAGCCUUGCACUUCAUGACUGUAAGUUCAUUUUUCACCACCUUAUUGUUCAGCAAAACUAAAAGAACUAUGGAAGUACAGGAAGAUGCUUGCUGCCCUACAUGACAUGCUGGGAUAAGGCUGGCCAAGAAAACAGCAUUAACAUUUGGGCACCACAGAGCCAUGCAAUGCAAAUGUGUUUAAAUUAUUUACACAAAGCAGGCACUAAAGGCACAUGUGCUGGCAGGUACACAUGGGCUCAUUAUCAGGGAUUCCACCAGAACUACUACUGUGAGAUGUGAAAGAGGCUUUGCACCUGCCAGGAUUUAGUGUCUCCGUCUGUGCUGUCAACUCUGAUACCCUACUGAGAAAGAAGUCUCUCAAAAUUGGUGGAGGCAAUAAAACCAGAAAUAUACAAAAGUUAAACAGAUUCUCCAUUUUAUUUUGAAUAAAAAUUUAGAUCCUAGAUGGAUACAGCAUCUGUAAAACACAAAACCAGACAAUCACGUUAGAAAUCUUGUAAUCAAACACGAGUUUUGCAGUUACAAUCUAGACCGUGAAUCUCUUUAAGUGCUAUUAAAGCAAUCCCCAAUUUAUACAGAAGAGUGUGAGAAAGACUUGCAGGAGCACUUCACUGGAGGCACAGACUCUGUGGCAGCCAGCCCUCCUGUGCACCAACAAGAGUUCCCAUGGCUCUGGAUUUCAGGAAUUAUCUGUGCUGCUCCUACUGUGCUUUUUCUAAGGCACAGGAGAAAGACAGGAAGGACUACACCCCUCUUGUACUCCUUUUGACAACAUCACUAUUAAAGUGUUACAUCACAACUCUGGGUGAGAGACCUAAAAGGACAGUCCCACUGAAGCCCUGUGGCUAAAACGCUAACAGUGGGAACAGGUGGGAGGGGCCACGACAGGACAGCACUGCCCUCAGUUAAAACAUUUGGGAGGUAAGAGAAAAAUCAAACAGGCAGUGGAGUAAAGGGUGCAAAAAUAUACAGAACAGAUUGGUGGAAAAGAAAUCAAGGCAGCUUUGGAAAAGAGCUGAGUCCUGGAAUUUGAAGAGCCUUUCCAGACAACCUGAGCAAGCACACAAACCCCUGACAAAGAGACAAACCCUCUCAGCACAGGAAGCCAGGAAAAAGCCUCUCUAGGCUCCAAAACAAACAGUCACUGAGCCAUGCUGAACACCCAACGGCAACAGAACAAAACCAGAAUUCCAAUGUUCCCUCAUACUAUGUGGAAUUAAAAAGGCACCACAAAAACUGCCAAUAAAUAUCUUGCUGCUAAACCACAUCCACUUACCACCCGGAUUCUGUGUCCAAUGGCCUUGGCAGGAAGGUUGGAGCGGAACUUGGCACGCACCAUGCCACUGUUCCCAUGGGCGC